rnacentral:rRNA from 1 species
AUUGAACGCUGGCGGCAUGCCUUACACAUGCAAGUCGAACGGCAGCACGGGUGCUUGCACCUGGUGGCGAGUGGCGAACGGGUGAGUAAUACAUCGGAACAUGUCCUGUAGUGGGGGAUAGCCCGGCGAAAGCCGGAUUAAUACCGCAUACGAUCUACGGAUGAAAGCGGGGGACCUUCGGGCCUCGCGCUAUAGGGUUGGCCGAUAGCUGAUUAGCUAGUUGGUGGGGUAAAGGCCUACCAAGGCGACGAUCAGUAGCUGGUCUGAGAGGACGACCAGCCAAAAUGGGAAUGGGGCACGGCCCAGACCUCUAACGGAGGGCGGAGGUGGGAAAUUUGGAACAAGGGGGGAAGGCUGGUCCCAGAAUGGCGGGUGUGGGGAGAAGGGCUUCGGGGUGGAAAGGAAUUUUGUCCGGAAAGAAAUCCUUGGCUCUAAUACAGUCGGGGGAUGACGGUACCGGAAGAAUAAGCACCGGCUAACUACGUG